UACGGGGGGGGCAAGCGUUGUUCGGAAUUACUGGGCGUAAAGGGCUCGUAGGUGGCCAACUAAGUCAGACGUGAAAUCCCUCGGCUUAACCGGGGAACUGCGUCUGAUACUGGAUGGCUUGAGUUCGGGAGAGGGAUGCGGAAUUCCAGGUGUAGCGGUGAAAUGCGUAGAUAUCUGGAGGAACACCGGUGGCGAAGGCAGCUCACUGGGACGGUACUGACGCUGAGACGCGAAAGCGUGGGGAGCAAACAGG
rnacentral:rRNA from 1 species